GAGAAGGAGGGGUGAGAGGGUGAGCUUCGAGGUAGGAUAUAUGGGUAUGCAAGUCUGUCAUUUGGGUGGAGAAAAGGGACAUUUGGGUGAGCACAUCAUCAAGUUUGUUAGAGAGAGUUUUUAAACGUGUACCAUCAGCCAUGGAAAAGGACAAUGAAAGAACCAAUUGUUAAAAGUGAGAAUUAGACACUGGAUUCGAGGUCAGUGUAGCCUCCUGAGAAGAUAAUUAGAAAGAUGAGAAUGUAAUUUUUCCU
rnacentral:lncRNA from 1 species